rnacentral:rRNA from 1 species
GCGGCCUAUCAGCUUGUUGGUGAGGUAAUGGCUCACCAAGGCUACGACGGGUAUCCGGCCUGAGAGGGCGACCGGACACACUGGGACUGAGACACGGCCCAGACUCCUACGGGAGGCAGCAGUGGGGAAUAUUGGGCAGUGACGCAAGUCUGACCCAGCGACGCCGCGUGAGGGAUGAAGGCCUUCGGGCUGUAAACCUCUUUCAGUAGGGAAGAAGCGAAAGUGACGGUACCUACAAAAGAAGCACCGGCUAACUAUGUGCCAGCAGCCGCGGUAAUACAUAGGGUGCAAGCGUUGUCCGGAUUUAUUGGGCGUAAAGAACUCGUAGGUGGUUUGUUACGUCGGAUGUGAAACUCUGGGGCUCAACCCCAGACCUGCAUCCGAUACGGGCAGACUAGAGUGUGGUAGGGGAGACUGGAAUUCCU